rnacentral:rRNA from 1 species
GGCCUAACACAUGCAAGUCGGACGGGAUUGGAGAGCUUGCUUUCCAUGAGAGUGGCGCACGGGUGCGUAACACGUAUGUAACCUACCUUUGUCAGGGGGAUAGCCUCUCGAAAGAGAGAUUAAGACCGCAUAAAAUCACAUUGCAGCAUUGCAAAAUGAUCAAAUAUUUAUAGGACAAAGAUGGGCAUGCGGAACAUUAGCUAGUUGGUAAGGUAACGGCUUACCAAGGCUACGAUGUUUAGGGGAUCUGAGAGGAUGACCCCCCACACUGGUACUGAGACACGGACCAGACUCCUACGGGAGGCAGCAGUAAGGAAUAUUGGUCAAUGGACGAAAGUCUGAACCAGCCAUGCCGCGUGCAGGAAGACGGCCCUAUGGGUUGUAAACUGCUUUUGCAGGGGAAUAAACCCCGGUACGUGUACCGGGCUGAAUGUACUCUGAGAAUAAGGAUCGGCUAACUCCGUGCCAGCAGCCGCGGUAAUACGGAGGAUCCAAGCGUUAUCCGGAUUUAUUGGGUUUAAAGGGUGCGUAGGUGGCCUGUUAAGUCAGGGGUGAAAGACGGUAGCUCAACUAUCGCAGUGCCCUUGAUACUGAUGGGCUUGAAUGAACUAGAGGUAGGCGGAAUGUGACAAGUAGCGGUGAAAUGCAUAGAUAUGUCACAGAACACCAAUUGCGAAGGCAGCUUACUAUGGUUUUAUUGACACUGAGGCACGAAAGCGUGGGGAUCAAACAGGAUUAGAUACCCUGGUAGUCCACGCCCUAAACGAUGAAUACUCGAUGUUGGCGAUAUA